rnacentral:rRNA from 1 species
UACGAAAGGGGCUAGCGUUGUUCGGAAUUACUGGGCGUAAAGCGCACGUAGGCGGCCUUGUAAGAUGGGGGUGAAAUCCCUGGGCUCAACCCAGGAACUGCCUUCAUGACUGCAAAGCUCGAGGAUGUGAGAGGUUGGCGGAAUUCCGAGUGUAGAGGUGAAAUUCGUAGAUAUUCGGAAGAACACCGGUGGCGAAGGCGGCCAACUGGCACAUUUCUGACGCUGAGGUGCGAAAGCGUGGGGAGCAAACAGG